rnacentral:rRNA from 1 species
GGUGUGACUGCGUACCUUUUGUAUAAUGGGUCAGCGACUUAUAUUCUGUAGCAAGGUUAACCGUAUAGGGGAGCCGAAGGGAAACCGAGUCUUAACUGGGCGUUAAGUUGCAGGGUAUAGACCCGAAACCCGGUGAUCUAGCCAUGGGCAGGUUGAAGGUUGGGUAACACUAACUGGAGGACCGAACCGACUAAUGUUGAAAAAUUAGCGGAUGACUUGUGGCUGGGGGUGAAAGGCCAAUCAAACCGGGAGAUAGCUGGUUCUCCCCGAAAGCUAUUUAGGUAGCGCCUCGUGAACUCAUCUUCGGGGGUAGAGCACUGUUUCGGCUAGGGGGCCAUCCCGGCUUACCAACCCGAUGCAAACUACGAAUACCGAAGAAUGUUAUCACGGGAGACACACGGCGGGUGCUAACGUCCGUCGUGAAGAGGGAAACAACCCAGACCGCCAGCUAAGGUCCCAAAGUCAUGGUUAAGUGGGAAACGAUGUGGGAAGGCACAGACAGCCAGGAUGUUGGCUUAGAAGCAGCCAUCAUUUAAAGAAAGCGUAAUAGCUCACUGGUCGAGUCGGCCUGCGCGGAAGAUGUAACGGGGCUAAACCAUGCACCGAAGCUGCGGCAGCGACACUAUGUGUUGUUGGGUAGGGGAGCGUUCUGUAAGCCGUUGAAGGUGUGCUGUGAGGGUUGCUGGAGGUAUCAGAAGUGCGAAUGCUGACAUAAGUAACGAUAAAGCGGGUGAAAAGCCCGCUCGCCGGAAGACCAAGGGUUCCUGUCCAACGUUAAUCGGGGCAGGGUGAGUCGACCCCUAAGGCGAGGCCGAAAGGCGUAGUCGAUGGGAAACAGGUUAAUAUUCCUGUACUUGGUGUUACUGCGAAGGGGGGACGGAGAAGGCUAUGUUAGCCGGGCGACGGUUGUCCCGGUUUAAGCAUGUAGGCGGAACGAUUAGGUAAAUCCGGUCGUUUUUUAACGCUGAGGUGUGAUGACGAGGCACUACGGUGCUGAAGUAACAAAUGCCCUGCUUCCAGGAAAAGCCUCUAAGCAUCAGGUAACAUCAAAUCGUACCCCAAACCGACACAGGUGGUCAGGUAGAGAAUACCAAGGCGCUUGAGAGAACUCGGGUGAAGGAACUAGGCAAAAUGGUGCCGUAACUUCGGGAGAAGGCACGCUGAUAUGUAGGUGAAGCCCCUGCGGGUGGAGCUGAAAUCAGUCGAAGAUACCAGCUGGCUGCAACUGUUUAUUAAAAACACAGCACUGUGCAAACACGAAAGUGGACGUAUACGGUGUGACGCCUGCCCGGUGCCGGAAGGUUAAUUGAUGGGGUUAGCGGCAACGCGAAGCUCUUGAUCGAAGCCCCGGUAAACGGCGGCCGUAACUAUAACGGUCCUAAGGUAGCGAAAUUCCUUGUCGGGUAAGUUCCGACCUGCACGAAUGGCGUAAUGAUGGCCAGGCUGUCUCCACCCGAGACUCAGUGAAAUUGAACUCGCUGUGAAGAUGCAGUGUACCCGCGGCAAGACGGAAAGACCCCGUGAACCUUUACUAUAGCUUGACACUGAACACUGGUCCUUGAUGUGUAGGAUAGGUGGGAGGCUUUGAAGUGUGGACGCCAGUCUGCAUGGAGCCGUCCUUGAAAUACCACCCUUUAAUGGCUGGUGUUCUAACGUAGACCCGUGAUCCGGGUUGCGGACAGUGUCUGGUGGGUAGUUUGACUGGGGCGGUCUCCUCCCAAAGAGUAACGGAGGAGCACGAAGGUUAGCUAAUCCUGGUCGGACAUCAGGAGGUUAGUGCAAUGGCAUAAGCUAGCUUGACUGCGAGAGUGACGGCUCGAGCAGGUGCGAAAGCAGGUCAUAGUGAUCCGGUGGUUCUGAAUGGAAGGGCCAUCGCUCAACGGAUAAAAGGUACUCCGGGGAUAACAGGCUGAUACCGCCCAAGAGUUCAUAUCGACGGCGGUGUUUGGCACCUCGAUGUCGGCUCAUCACAUCCUGGGGCUGAAGUAGGUCCCAAGGGUAUGGCUGUUCGCCAUUUAAAGUGGUACGCGAGCUGGGUUUAGAACGUCGUGAGACAGUUCGGUCCCUAUCUGCCGUGGGCGCUGGAGAAUUGAGGGGGGCUGCUCCUAGUACGAGAGGACCGGAGUGGACGCAUCACUGGUGUUCGGGUUGUCAUGCCAAUGGCACUGCCCGGUAGCUAAAUGCGGAAAAGAUAAGUGCUGAAAGCAUCUAAGCACGAAACUUGCCCCGAGAUGAGUUCUCCCUGAGACUUUAAGUCUCCUGAAGGAACGUUGAAGACGACGACGUUGAUAGGUCGGGUGUGUAAGCGCAGCGAUGCGUUGAGCUAACCGAUACUAAUGAACCGUGAGGCUUAACCUU